rnacentral:rRNA from 1 species
UACAGAGGGUGCGAGCGUUGUUCGGAAUUACUGGGCGUAAAGCGUGCGUAGGCGGUUCGUUAAGUCUGUUGUGAAAGCCCCGGGCUCAACCUGGGAAUGGCAAUGGAUACUGGCGAGCUAGAGUGUGUCAGAGGAUGGUGGAAUUCCCGGUGUAGCGGUGAAAUGCGUAGAGAUCGGGAGGAACAUCAGUGGCGAAGGCGGCCAUCUGGGACAACACCGACGCUGAGGCACGAAAGCGUGGGGAGCAAACAGG